rnacentral:sRNA from 1 species
GCCGCGCCUAGAUCGGCCAAUCGAAAACCGGGUUCCCUUGCCCGGCUGGCGCGGUUCUUCGCAAGGG